rnacentral:ncRNA from 1 species
GUGGGAGGGGAAAGUGAUCUCUAACCAAGUGCCUGUUGAAGAAUGAGCCGAUGACUCAUAGGCAGUGGCUUGGUUAAAGGAACAGAACCCACCGGCGCUGUAGUGAAAGCGAGUCUUCAUAGGGCGAUUGUCACUGCUUAUGGACCGGAACCUGGGUGAUCUAUCCAUGACCAGGAUGAAGCUUGGAUGAAACUAAGCAGAGGUCCGAACCGACUGAUGUUGAAGAAUCAGUGGAUGAGUUGUGGUUAGGAGUGAAAUGCCACUCGAACCAUUCCCCUUAGCCUGUUGGGAAUGUAGGU